rnacentral:tRNA from 1 species
UCCAGCGUAGCUCAAAUGGACAGAGCGCCGUGGUUACACUCGGAGGUGCAGGUUCGAGUCCUGCUGCUGGAGUCA